ensembl:misc_RNA 7SK 7SK RNA
AAAUAGAGGUUUGGCUGCGACAUCUGUCACCCCGUUGAUUGCCAGCAUUGAUUCAGCUGAUCUGGCUGGCCAGGUGGUGUCCCCUCCCUCCCUCCCUGCUCCAUGUGCAUCCAUCAGUCCAAGAGGGCAACCACUCCCAAUAGAGGAGGACUGUUUCCUCAGUCACAGGUGUACAAGUAGCUGCGUUCCCCUGCUACAAAUAGAGGUGUGGGUGCUGGGUUAUUUUUCUUCAAGAGAAAGCUUUCAUUUUUAUCUAUGCCUGAAGAUGUGGAGUUAUCCUAA